AAGAAAGAAGAACAGUAUCAAGUGCUACGCCCGGACGAACUUCCCAGAUCGGCCGACACAAAGUGGUCGGUGGGAUCUUCGUCCGUUUGUAUCGCUUAUACGUGUAUUCAUCAUACAA
rnacentral:precursor_RNA from 12 species